CAUCUCACCUGGGGAGUGAUUUCUCAUUUUCUCUUUCUCUGAUCAUUUAAAGGACAAUGACAGACGGACUCAGAGCUUGAAAGAAGAAUGUGGACUUCUAGGACCUUACGCAUAGAAGGUGGCAAUGUGUGGUGCUGGAAACGGAAGAGCUAGCUGCAUUCCCAUUUCCCCAAAGGAACGGCUGAAGAGAGCAGUAGAACGGACACAAGUUGGACAGAAUUAAAAACCUGCAGGGCCAUCAAAGAUAUGUCCAGCAGACGGGUACGGAAACCCUCCUUCUGCAAUAAUAGAAGCAAAAGCCUAACUAGCUGAUAAACCUAAUCCCAAUGAAUAGACAACUACAUCGAGUAAGG